rnacentral:sRNA from 2 species
UGCGGCGGGGUCCUGCUCGCCCAAGCGUGAGGUCUGGAUACUAUAUCGAGCAUCCAUUAGGACCAUUAGGACCUUCGAGAGGAGACAACCAGAAAAGGCUCGUAAUGCACACAAUCCCCCACUCUUUCUCCAUUGAAUCUCAAAUCUAUUACCGCUUUUGUGGUGAUAUGGCAGCUGCUCUACGUCCAGAGUUGUCGACCAUAUCUGCUGAGUGGGAAUGUAGAUGUUGGUGGGAUGAAAGGUGUUUUGGGAGAAUUAGAGAAGGCCGUGGGCUGUGGUAAGAAAAAUUAUUCUUUGCAAUGAGCUACGGUCAAACCACCUGAAGAAGGGGAAUCAGAUUUAAAAGGCUCUAUGAAGUGGAAAACCCAGUAAGAUGAACAAACCACGGGGUGGUGUGGAUUGGACUGCACUGCAACUUACUGAAAAUCCAUUGGCUGUGUUGUGAUUCCCCUCAAGGCAAACUUUCACUUUCUUUUCUACUAACUAUGUUCAGAUCCCACUAAAGGCUAUCUAAAUAUAUCCAGGACUUCCCACAAGCCUACACAGGUCACUUGAGAAAGAAGUCGGAUCAGAAGAGCAAAACUAAACUAUGACACUGAAAAUACAAAGACAUCUGUCCUUGUCACAACUUGCCAUCUGUGAAAGUAUAGGCUAGAAGUUAAGUUAGGGAAACACCACUUGUAUAUUUCAAUUGUGCAGUACGAUUGCACCAUAUAACAUGUACCUAU